UACGUAGGCAGCGAGCGUUGUUCGGAGUUACUGGGCGUAAAGAGUGCGUAGGCGGUUUUCUAAGUUUGGUGUGAAAUCUCCCGGCUUAACUGGGAGGGUGCGCCGAAGACUGGAAGGCUUGAGUAUGGAGAGGUAAGCGGAAUUCCUGGUGUAGCGGUGAAAUGCGUAGAUAUCAGGAGGAACACCUGCGGUGUAGACGGCUUACUGGACCAUCACUGACGCUGAGGCACGAAAGCGUGGUAGCAAACAGG
rnacentral:rRNA from 1 species